GUGGGGAAUUUUGGACAAUGGGCGCAAGCCUGAUCCAGCAAUGCCGCGUGCAGGAAGAAGGCCUUCGGGUUGUAAACUGCUUUUGUACGGAACGAAACGGUCCUGGUUAAUACCUGGGGCUAAUGACGGUACCGUAAGAAUAAGCACCGGCUAACUACGUGCCAGCAGCCGCGGUAAUACGUAGGGUGCAAGCGUUAAUCGGAAUUACUGGGCGUAAAGCGUGCGCAGGCGGUUUUGUAAGACAGGCGUGAAAUCCCCGGGCUCAACCUGGGAAUGGCGCUUGUGACUGCAAGGCUGGAGUGCGGCAGAGGGGGAUGGAAUUCCGCGUGUAGCAGUGAAAUGCGUAGAUAUGCGGAGGAACACCGAUGGCGAAGGCAAUCCCCUGGGCCUGCACUGACGCUCAUGCACGAAAGCGUGGGGAGCAAACAGGAUUAGAAACCCGGGUAGUCC
rnacentral:rRNA from 1 species